GAAAAAUAUUCUGAGACUCCUCGUCAUGGGCCUCUCACGUAAUGUCUAAUGUGCUUUUGAGUGUUAAUAUGUGAGUGAGCAAAGGUUUUGGUUAAGAGACAGUAAAUCUAAAGACAGGAAACAGGAAACGACAACCUUCUCUAAUAUGCAGAUGUGUCCACUUGUGCUUUCGAGAUGUUUUGGACAUCAAUAUCCAUGAGCCCUACCCAGUGCUACCAAAGGUCAAGAAAUCUGGAAGAUGCAGCAAAAACCUUCUGGAGGACACCAGCUUGGGGAGCUCUAUUUUAAAGGUUCCUCCUUCUACAAAAAUUCCAUUUUCUGCUGUCAGAUGUUCCACACUCCACCCACAGUCCUAGGAUGCAGAGUCAAUGAGUAACGUUUGUACCAAGUACCAGUUUCUACCAUCAGUUAACAAGUGAUACAAGUAGGGCAUGAACACUUUUGGCUCAAUAUUGGUUCUUUUCCACUGCUGACAAGAAGACCAUCCAGCAACAAUAUUCUAGGAUUCCAUAUCUUUUUUUGUUAGUAGCACAGCUUCAGAAAGUACUGAAAGAUGGCUGAUAUGUAAUGAAAAGCUAUUGGAUGAAUUAUUUAAAAUAGGAGCACUGAGUCAAACUCAGUUGCAAUUCAUGACACAUGGAAGGUCUCAACAAAUUCAAAAAACAUAUUUGUGUUAAAGAAUAUCCACCAACAUGAGUAAAGUGGCUUAAAGAUAGGACUAUAUAAGUUAGGUUGAGAACAGCUGACGUGGCAUGGCUGGAAGACUACAAUUUGCACUUAUUUCUGACUACAGCUGUAGCAAGAUGUGACAGACGGCUUUGCCAUGAUUUUAUGGCAUUUAUCUUAAUUCCAUCCCUCUUUUGAUAUACAGUUCACCAUAAAAUAUAACAGGAGAAAAUAAAAUAUAUAAUAGAGUCA
rnacentral:lncRNA from 1 species